ACCUAACACAUACUUCAUCGUUUUCGUGUCCAACUUUGACUGUCUAUCUUAUAUGAGAUUUUUUUAUAAUUCGUAUUUUCAUUGUUGUUUGAUGAUAAAACAUGAUUAAUAUUUUAUGCGUGACUUGUCUUUUUAAUUUUUUUCAUAUUUUUUUCAAAUAAGACGGACGGUCAAACGUUAGGCAUGAAAACCAGGGUUUGUCUUUUU
rfam:Oryza nivara chromosome 4, whole genome shotgun sequence.